rnacentral:tRNA from 1 species
GCUGCUGUAGCUCAGUUGGUAGAGCACUUCCUUGGUAAGGAAGAGGUCAAGAGUUCAAGUCUCUUCAGCAGCU